rnacentral:rRNA from 1 species
ACGCUCGACACCUACGGGGGGCAGCAGUGGGGAAUAUUGCACAAUGGGGGAAACCCUGAUGCAGCAACGCCGCGUGAAGGAAGACGGUUUUCGGAUUGUAAACUUCUGUUCUUAGUGAAGAUAGUGACGGUAGCUAAGGAGCAAGCCACGGCUAACUACGUGCCAGUAGCCGCGGUAAUCUGAGCGGGCUGGCAAGGC